GACGAACGCUGGCGGCGUGCUUAACACAUGCAAGUCGAACGGAAAGGCCCUGCUUUUGUGGGGUGCUCGAGUGGCGAACGGGUGAGUAACAAGUGAGUAACCUGCCCUUGACUUUGGGAUAACUUCAGGAAACUGGGGCUAAUAUCGGAUAGGAGCUCCUGCGGCAUGGUGGGGGUUGGAUAGUUUCGGCGGUUGGGGAUGGACUCGCGGCUAAUCAGCUUGUUGGUGGGGUAGUGGCAUACCAAGGCUUUGACGGGUAGCCGGCCUGGGAGGGUGGACGGCGCCAUGGCGACUACGGGACGGAGCAGACUGCAACGGGGGGCAAUGGGGGGAAGUAUGAUACAACGAGCGGACGCCUGAUGCGAAAGCCUCGCGUGCGGGAUGACGGUCUGCGGGGAAUGAACCGCUUUCGCUUGUGACGAAGCGGGAGUGACGGUAACGGAUAAAGAAGCACCGGCUAACUACGUG
rnacentral:rRNA from 1 species